rnacentral:rRNA from 1 species
CUGGCGGCGUGCCUAACACAUGCAAGUCGAGCGAGGAGAUCCUUCGGGAUGAUCCUAGCGGCGGACGGGUGAGUAACACGUGGGCAACCUGCCUCAUAGAGAGGAAUAGCCUUCCGAAAGGGAGAUUAAUACCUCAUAACAUUGCAGUUUCGCAUGGAACAGCAAUUAAAGGAGUAAUCCGCUAUGAGAUGGGCCCCGCGGCGCAUUAGCUAGUUGGUGAGGUAACGGCUCACCAAGGCGACGAUGCGUAGCCGACCUGAGAGGGUGAUCGGCCACAUUGGGACUGAGACACGGCCCAGACUCCUACGGGAGGCAGCAGUGGGGAAUAUUGCACAAUGGGGGAAACCCUGAUGCAAGCAACGCCGCGUGAGUGAUGACGGCCUUCGGGUUGUAAAGCUCUGUCUUCAGGGACGAUAAUGACGGUACCUGAGGAGGAAGCCACGGCUAACUACGUGCCAGCAGCCGC